CACAUACAUUAAUAUGAGUGUUGUGUGGUUCUUCAAGCGUUGUCUUUCUCAUAUAUGAAGCACUGCAUGAUAAAUAAUUGUAAAAAUCUAUAUAAAUACAUUAUAUCAAGGAAAAACAAAUUUAAAUCUACAACUACAGUUCAAAUGUAAAACUUUUUGCAUAGUUAUUAUUGCGAAGGAUUCAAAAUGCAAGCAAAGCAAUGCAAACAGAAAUGUAGAAUGACAGUCGCUCAAUCUGUUGCAAGCAAUGACUUUCAAACAGCAAGUGCUAAAGAAGCCAAACACGCAGAAUUACAAGUCCAACGCUGAAACUGCUGGAAAAGAACAGUGAAAAAGAUACAGGUCUUCAUUCUUGAUGGGAUUCAGAAACUGAACUACUGUGUCUUCACAGACAAAUAAUCCAAAAUCAGCAUAAGAGUGUGGAGUAAACAGCAUCAAGCCUCUCUUUAAUAGGGAACUCAUCUAUAAAAACAAACACUUGUUAUACUUUUAUGAAUUAUCAAGUUGUACAACACACAGCAAUAAGGAUUUAGACAAACAAUCACAGAUUUUAUUAAUUUUAUUGUUGUGUCUAAUAUAUAUAGAAACAACUUGUGUUGUAAAAGAAAGGAUGACAGCAUAUCUCUUUAUCACGUGCCAGUAUAGGCCCUGACUGCACGUGAGAACAUUUGAAUUAUCUGGCACGAGGCCUCACACGUCAUACUUCAACUGACACAACGGUCUCGAUGGGUAAGAUUUCGUUACCAUAUACAGUAAAUAUUGGUUCAAGAGGGCAGUUUGAUAACUCAGUCGAGGUUUGUAAAUGGGGUUUCUGUUCCUGCAGUCUUUCAGGGGUGCUGGCGCGUAUGACGAUGCGGACAUGAACAGCAUACUACAGUAUACCGCCACCUACUGUACUGUAGUACAAUAACGUCUUUUAAACAUCUAAACAUGUCCUCCAAAAAGGAAAAAGGAAAAAACAUUGGAAAACAAUUUUAGCCUAAGGUUUCCUGUGCUGUUUUGCUCCAUUUUACUGAACAAAAUAAGGCUGAGGUAGCACCAUCCUUGUGGUUAGAGUGAAAGAAUGUGGGUAUUGAGACCAAAAUAAACAAUGUGCCAUUCUGGACAAACAGCUGUGGACAAUAUGCAGUCAGAGUAGCCCAUUUUCUCACACAGACCUGAGGAUAAGAUUUCCAGUUUAAAAGUGAAGAAAAUGAAUCAUUAUUAACAGCAAAUAUGAGUAUUUCUCAGCUGAAAAGCCAGGUGAAACUAUAAGGUCACUAUGAUUCACUUUCAUAUUAUCAUUCUUUUCAGAUUUUUUUCCCUGUGUUUUUUUUGUUAGAUGAGGAGCAACCAGUAAGAAAAAGCAAAAAGAUGUUUUGAUGUUGCCUGAGGCACCUUAUUUUCCAUUUCAUGCACAAUCACAAAUGCAGCACAUCAAUCAAUUUCUUCCAACCAGCGAAUCAAGAAAUCUUGGAGUGGAGAAUCAUUCUGAAAGUAGACCAAAUCCAGGACAACAUCACAACAGUGGUCGGAAAAAUGCAGCAAGCUAAGCUGACUUUCAAAAGAUGAUUCGUUAUCUGUUUCUUCAGAGGGGAGGCAGUUUGGGAGAUGGGAAUUAGGAGGAUGCUACAGUUACACAGGGCAAAUUUCAGCAGCUCAGUUUCAAACUUGCAACUAACAUCGAGUUAAACUGGUCAGGGUGGAAGACCAGCUGACGUACCAGUUUUGCCAGGUUAAAGGACCAGCUUAAACCAGCUAAGACAGCCAACCAACUUAGCCAAGGUGGUAUAUGCUGGUGGGUCAGCUGGUCUUCCCGCCUGACCAGCUAAGACCAGCUACAAAGUGGCCAAAACCUCUGUAAAACAAUCCUGCUACACCAGCCUGACCAGCUGAAACCAUACUGGGAGUAUUCAUAUUCAUAUCGAUUUGCAUUUACAAAUAAAAUAGGUAACAUACAGUACUGUGCAAAGUCUAGGCCACCAUCACCAGCUUUGUUGUUUUAGCUAAAUUUAAAUGCCCAUCCAUAUUUAUUUUUUACUCUUUUUAUUAAGAUACAAACAGAAAAUACAGGAAAUAUGUACACAAAAUUAAAAACAUCAGUCAGUAUUUAGUGUGACUUCUCUUGGCACGAAACACAUCUUGAGCUUUUUUGAGGAGACUGAAGUCAUUCGAUUAAAAUUAGAAAGGAUUAAAUUUUAUUUAUGUGUAAGAGAUCCUGCAGUUGCCUGCUAUUGCUCAAGUUGAAGGUGAGUUUACCCUAAAUACUUUAAACUUCAGCUUAAACUUUUAUACUGUUUUUUAAUACUACAUACACAUUUCCUGUAUUUUCUGGUUGUAUUCUAAUAAAGAGACUGAGAAAUAAACAUAUGAUCACUACACAAUUGCAAAAACAACAAAUCUAAUGGUAGCAUGCAGACUUUUGCACAGAACUGUAUGUCCACAUUUAGCCACCUUUACUUUGAGUGAACUGUAACAGCAACUAUAAUGCCAUAAACAUUCAAUACUAAGGUAAAAGAGAGUUGUGCAUGCUUUCUAGUUUUAGCACAGAAUUCUGUCUCCCUUUUAAAUGUUUGCUACAGAUUUUUUGCAAGACAUUUUUGUCCAACCUAAAAACAACUUGUACUGACAUAUAUUAAAAUACAUCAGUGCCCUUUGUUUUUUUUUUACAUCAGAUUGCACACAAGUAAUGUUUUAGUAAGGCAUGUUUGUUAAAACUGGUUAUAUUUCAUAAUUAAACUGAGGCAUAGUCCUGGUUUAAGCUCCUUGUCUGGGAAACCACCCCAAUAAAUACUUAACUUUUGAAUGUGUUCGUUUCGUUGUUUUAGGUUAGAAGACCACGGAAAUAUUUGACAUCGGAGUCCAGCAGACAGCCAGAGACACGCACACACACGCAGCUGAAGCGCGUUUGACUGACGCGUACGGGAGAUCCGGCACGCGCACGGGAGCUCGCGCACGCUCACACAAACACGGAGCACAGGAUAAUUACAACUGUUUAAUUAAAAUAAAAGAACUUUGUGGUAUACAAUGUUUAGCGUGUCUGAUUUCAUUGGUUAGCAAGGAAAUAAAACGACGUGCUGAGGACUUUAGGCGAACGUCCCCUAAAUGUCCCGAAAGUCCGCUGACCGUCCCGCGAACGUCCUCGCAAAAGUCCGGAGGACGUCCUCGCGGAAGUCCGCUCGACGUAACGGGAACCAUACACGAUGACGUUCGGGGGACGUUCGCCUAAAGUGCUUAGCAUGUUAUUUAGCUUACAAAAAAGGUCCCCAUGACGUCCCCUAAAAGUCAAUAAAGUCCCCAAAGCGUCAUUUUGAACGUCCGGAAGACGUUUUUGCGGACGUUCGCAGGACGUCAAAAGAACCCUACACGAUAACGUCCGGGGGACGUUCGCAGAUGCCAUUUAGGGGACGUCCUGGGGACCU